UACGGAGGGUGCAAGCGUUGUCCGGAAUUAUUGGGUGUAAAGGGUGUGUAGGCGGACUUGUAAGUCAGGGGUGAAAUCCUGGAGCUCAACUCCAGAACUGCCUUUGAUACUGGUGAUCUUGAGUCCGGGAGAGGUGAGUGGAACUGCGAGUGUAGAGGUGAAAUUCGUAGAUAUUCGCAAGAACACCAGUGGCGAAGGCGGCUCACUGGCCCGGUACUGACGCUGAGGUGCGAAAGCGUGGGUAGCAAACAGG
rnacentral:rRNA from 1 species